CUGGCGACCGGCGCACGGGUGAGUAACACGUAUCCAACCUGCCGAUAACUCGGGGAUAGCUUUUCGAAAGAAAGAUUAAUACCCGAUGGCAUAAUUAGGCCGCAUGGUCUUAUUAUUAAAGAAUUUCGGUUAUCGAUGGGGAUGCGUUCCAUUAGGCAGUUGGUGAGGUAACGGCUCACCAAACCUUCGAUGGAUAGGGUUCUGAGAGGAAGGUCCCCCACAUUGGAACUGAGACACGGUCCAA
rnacentral:rRNA from 1 species